rnacentral:rRNA from 1 species
CCUACGGGUGGCAGCAGUGAGGAAUAUUGGUCAAUGGACGAGAGACUGAACCAGCCAAGUAGCGUGAAGGAUGACUGCCCUGAGGGUUGUAAACUUCUUUUAUAAGGGAAUAAAGUGUUGCACGUGUGGCAUUUUGUAUGUACCUUAUGAAUAAGGAUCGGCUAACUCCGUGCCAGCAGCCGCGGUAAUACGGAGGAUCCGAGCGUUAUCCGGAUUUAUUGGGUUUAAAGGGAGCGUAGGUGGGUUGUUAAGUCAGUUGUGAAAGUUUGCGGCUCAACCGUAAAAUUGCAGUUGAAACUGGCAGUCUUGAGUACAGUAGAGGUAGGCGGAAUUCGUGGUGUAGCGGUGAAAUGCUUAGAUAUCACGAAGAACUCCGAUUGCGAAGGCAGCUUACUGGACUGCCACUGACACUGAGGCUCGAAAGUGUGGGUAUCAAACAGGAUUAGAUACCCGAGUAGUC